UACGUAGGCAGCAAGCGUUGUUCGGAAUUACUGGGCGUAAAGAGUGUGUAGGCGGUGUUCUAAGUUUGGUGUGAAAUCUCCCGGCUCAACCGGGAGGGUGCGCCGAAAACUGGAAUGCUAGAGUAUGGGAGAGGUAAGCGGAAUUCCUGGUGUAGCGGUGAAAUGCGUAGAUAUCAGGAGGAACACCUGUGGUGUAGACAGCUUACUGGACCAUCACUGACGCUGAGACACGAAAGCGUGGGUAGCAAACAGG
rnacentral:rRNA from 1 species